GUGGUUCUAUGCUGACUUCUGAUGAUCAAAUUUCCCCCUUCUUGAGUUCAUGAAAAAUAUGAAAGUUCAAGGAGUCACUGAUGAAACUCCAAAUAAAGCCAGAGAAGAAAGGUUUAAAAAUUCUCCAACACUUCCUACAGGAAAAUAUGAAGCAAAGGUCAUCAGCUGCAAAUAAGGAAGGCAGAGAAAGUAGUAUUGAAAGUUUAAGGAGAGAAAGAGAUGGUGCCAGCAUUGAAUAUCUCAGUAAAAAGACCGUGGCACUCCAACAAGGACAUGGAGGAGGCGUGUAACCUCAGGCACAUCAUUCCAUUUUCAGAUUCUCAUGUUCUUUAUCUGUACAGUCCAGAUGAUAUUUCCUACCAGGCAGGUGAUUGUCCAUCUCAAAU
rnacentral:lncRNA from 1 species